GUGGAGUUUGAUAUGUUCUUCCCAUGAACUCUCCAUGUCUCCAUGGCUUUGUUCCAGGUGGAAUUGUUGUCACAUAACUUCUGCAACCAAGGUUGUGUGUGUCUUGGUAUCUUGGUUUCUUCUCGCCUCUCAAAAACACGGAUUGAGUUUUCUAAAUUUGACUUACUGAACAGGGUAUAUGCUUCAUAUUAAUACACAUUCCAGUCAUUUGCUGGCAUCUCUGUGGCUCAGUAUGGGUAAUCCUUGGUGAUGGUAACAUGUGUGGCACUGGAAUCAUCAGCAAGAGAGCCUCUGCGUAGGACUCGAGGCUGGCAGUGCAGAAGGGACAGAAGUUCAUGGGUUACACUGUUGGAGAAGGCUGUGUAGAUCCAGGGGUUGGUGCAUGAGUUCAGACUGGCCAGUAGCAUCAGGAUGGUGAAGGCUACACCUAAAAAAAGAAAGAAAAUUAGGCGGAGGAGGAGACAUUGUUAGUUCACCUCACUGCACGUCUUUGGACUGUGGGAGGAAACCGGAGCUUCGGGAGGAAACUGGAGCUUCGGGAGGAAACCCAUGAAGACACGGGGAGAACAGGCAAACUCCACACAGAAAGGACAUGGACCACCCCAGCUGGGGAUUGAACCCAGGAUCUUCUUGCUGUGAGGUGACAGUGCUACCCACUGAGCCACCGUGCCGCCCUUAGUAAUGUAUAAAAGCAUUGAAAAAUC